UGGAGGCAUUUCCUCAAGGGAGGCUCUU
rnacentral:piRNA from 1 species